UUAUUUCUGUGUUGGAAUUAGUUUAGCCUUUUUCAGCUAUUUCAAUAAACUAUAUUAUUGCAUUAAAACCAAAAAAAAAAAAUUAUAUUAUCAUUUUCUAUAAAUAAAAAAAAGUACUUAAAUUAGUAAAAAAGAGAAAAAUAUAAAUAAAAAACGAAAAUAUUACCGAAGAGACACUAAAAACCCCGAUCCAAUCCCGCCGGAAGCUCACAUUUCUUUUUUAUCUACAAUCCAAACAAAUAAUAAUUACAAUAAUGAACUAAAAAAAGAAGAACAAGAAAAAAGAAAGAAAUACCAGAAUCUUCACACAUGAAUUAAUAUUUACCUAAACCUUAUUAGAGGCCAUUUUGAUCUACAGACAAUAGGAAUGUAUUGUUUUUUUUUUUUGGGGGGGGGGAAUGACUAGAGUUUACUCCAAGUGGCCAUAUUACAACAAAAAGCUUAACCCAUGAAACAAGAAGAAAAGAACUUGUAAAAAUAGAAACAACUUAAGCUAUGAUGAUAAGAGAGCAAAAAAUGUAGCAAUGAUUCGAUUUGAUAUAUAAAUCUACAAAUGAAAGUUAGAAAUAGGAAUUUGAGUGGUGGGUCUAUUAC
rnacentral:lncRNA from 1 species